rnacentral:rRNA from 1 species
UACACUCCUACGGGAGGCAGCAGUGGGGAAUAUUGCACAAUGGGCGCAAGCCUGAUGCAGCCAUGCCGCGUGUGUGAAGAAGGCCUUCGGGUUGUAAAGCACUUUCAGCGGGGAGGAAGGCAAUGCGGUUAAUAACCGUGUUGAUUGACGUUACCCGCAGAAGAAGCACCGGCUAACUCCGUGCCAGCAGCCGCGGUAAUACGGAGGGUGCAAGCGUUAAUCGGAAUUACUGGGCGUAGAGCGCACGCAGGCGGUCUGUCAAGUCGGAUGUGAAAUCCCCGGGCUCAACCUGGGAACUGCAUUCGAAACUGGCAGGCUGGAGUCUUGUAGAGGGGGGUAGAAUUCCAGGUGUAGCGGUGAAAUGCGUAGAGAUCUGGAGGAAUACCGGUGGCGAAGGCGGCCCCCUGGACAAAGACUGACGCUCAGGUGCGAAAGCGUGGGGAGCAAACAGGAUUAGAAACCCCGGUAGUCCCAUGAU